rnacentral:rRNA from 1 species
GAUUAACGCUGGCGGCGUGCAUAACACAUGCAAGUCGAACGAUGAAACUUAAAUGAUUUCUUCGGAAUGAACUUAAGUGGAUUAGUGGCGGACGGGUGAGUAACGCGUGAGUAACCUGCCUUACACAAGGGGAUAGCCGUUGGAAACGACGAGUAAUACCCUAUGAAACUAUCACUUCGCAUGAAGCGAUAGUCAAAGUGUUAGCGGUGUAAGAUGGACUUGCGUCUGAUUAGCUAGUUGGUGAGAAAAAAGCCCACCAAGGCAACGAUCAGUAGCCGGCUUGAGAGAGUGUACGGCCACAUUGGGACUGAGACACGGCCCAGACUCCGACGGGAGGCAGCAGUGGGGAAUUUUGCACAAUGGGGGAAACCCUGAUGCAGCGACGCCGCGUGAUUUAGAAGGCCUUCGGGUUGUAAAAAUCUUUUGUAUAGGAAGAAAAUGACAGUACUAUACGAAUAAGGUCCGGCUAAUUACGUG